rnacentral:misc_RNA from 1 species
GAUGAAGAACGUAGUGAAAUGCGAUAAGUAAUGUGAAUUGCAGAAUUCAGUGAAUCAUCGAAUCUUUGAACGCACAUUGCGCCCCUUGGUAUUCCGAGGGGCAUGCCUGUUCGAGCGUCAUUAUAACCCCUCAAGCUCAGCUUGGUGUUGGGGCCUGCUGCACUGGCAGCCCUUAAAAUCAGUGGCGGCGCCGUCUGGCUCUAAGCGUAGUAAUUCUUCUCGCUAUGGAGUCCUGGUGGAUGCUUGCCAUCAACCCCCAAUUUUUCUAUGGUUGACCUCGGAUCAGGUAGGGAUACCCGCUGAACUUAAGCAUAUCAAUAAGCGGAGGA